GGACACUGGAAGCAGUUUACUCAGACAAAAGGCCAUUCAGAGAAAAAGGGGACCGAGUGUUUAGAAAAUGUCACUGAUAAGGUCAAACCGAGAUUUCCAGCGCAGGCAUUACAAAACGUAGAACUGAAUAGAUGGGCCACCUAGGGAGAGUAAACGACAUCUUUGAACAAGGGAACCAAAUGUCAGUGGCUCGUCAGAUGGAUCGAGAUUUCCGACGUGAACGAGUGUAAAUGGGUGCUCUAUUCAACAGAGGAAGCGGCGACCAUCUAUCUCCACACUGAGAGAGAGAGAGACAGAGUCUGCAGAGAGAGACAGUGUGUGAGGGUGUGUUAAGCUCAGCAUUAGUCUGCCGCAAACAGACAGUGAUUCGAGUUUUGAUUUUGUUACGAGUGGACAUUUUCCAGCCCACUCGAGCCUGUAGCAUCCAUCACUAGGGCACCUCUCCCUCUUCCUCUGGGGAAAGGCUCCUGCCCCUUUCCAUCUCCAACAAGCAGGAUCCCUGAGUGGGUGACCUUGUAUCAUGGCAACUUUGACACAAAAUUUCUGGGCUUCCUGUGAUGUUUCCACUUUCGUGACAACACCCUCCCUGGGCUGGCCUCCAAAUGGACUGUGAUGACUGCAGGGCUAAUUCUCCCUGACAGCACAUUAAUCAUUUGCCUAUCGAGAUUCCUUAAGGUGACUGAGAAGUGAUUUGUGGAAGAGGAGCGAGAGCAGACACAUCUCUGUCUGUCUGUGUGCUCUGCACAUAGGUGUGUUUAAAUAGAAAUGUUACUCACUCUUUGGAAAGUAUGACAAUUUGCAACAACUACGAUUUACACUCAUACUAAUCUACUCUGACACUAUUUUACCUAUAAAAUGAAAAAAAAAAAGAAACGUUCAUAAUGGAAAUGUAAUUUCAAGACUUACAUUCAAGAGUUUUUAAGGCCGCAGAUGUAUUAUGUCAGUCAGAUAUUUAUUUUUCUCUGUCUUUUCUCUCUGUUCUCCCUGUGGUCAAUAUUAUUUAUCCCAACCUCUUUUUCCUCUUUAUUCUGAAAUUAAAUACUUCUAAUGGUC